rnacentral:rRNA from 1 species
CCUACGGGAGGCAGCAGUGGGGAAUAUUGCACAAUGGGGGAAACCCUGAUGCAGCGACGCCGCGUGAGUGAAGAAGUAUUUCGGUAUGUAAAGCUCUAUCAGCAGGGAAGAAAUAAAGUCCUUCGGACUUUGGACGGUACCUGACUGAGAAGCCCCGGCCAACUACGUGCCAGCCGCCGCGGGAAGACGUAGGGGGCAUGCGUUAUCCGUAUGUACUGGGUGGAAAGGGAGCGUAGACGGCAGCGCAAGUCUGGAGUGAAAUCCCCUGGCUUAACCAUGGAACUGCUUUGGAAACUGUGCGGCUGGAGUGCAGGAGAGGUAAGCGGAAUUCCUAGUGUAGCGGUGAAAUGCGUAGAUAUUAGGAGGAACACCAGUGGCGAAGGCGGCUUACUGGACUGUAACUGACGUUGAGGCUCGAAAGCGUGGGGAGCAAACAGGAUUAGAUACCCGAGUAGUC